GGGGACCCGCAAGCGGUGGAUGAUGUGGAUUAAUUCGAUGCAACGCGAAAAACCUUACCUACCCUUGACAUGUACGGAAGGCCGGAGAGAUCUGGCUGUGCUCGAAAGAGAACCGUAACACAGGUGCUGCAUGGCUGUCGUCAGCUCGUGUCGUGAGAUGUUGGGUUAAGUCCCGCAACGAGCGCAACCCUUGUCAUUAGUUGCUACGAAAGGGCACUCUAAUGAGACUGCCGGUGACAAACCGGAGGAAGGUGGGGAUGACGUCAAGUCCUCAUGGCCCUUAUGGGUAGGGCUUCACACGUCAUACAAUGGUACAUACAGAGGGCCGCCAACCCGCGAGGGGGAGCUAAUCCCAGAAAGUGUAUCGUAGUCCGGAUUGUAGUCUGCAACUCGACUACAUGAAGUUGGAAUCGCUAGUAAUCGCGGAUCAGCAUGUCGCGGUGAAUACGUUCCCGGGUCUUGUACACA
rnacentral:rRNA from 1 species